rnacentral:rRNA from 1 species
AACGAACGCUGGCGGCAUGCCUAACACAUGCAAGUCGAACGAGACCUUCGGGUCUAGUGGCGCACGGGUGCGUAACACGUGGGAAUCUGCCCUUUGCUUCGGAAUAACAGUUAGAAAUGACUGCUAAUACCGGAUGAUGUCGAAAGACCAAAGAUUUAUCGGCAAAGGAUGAGCCCGCGUAGGAUUAGGUAGUUGGUGGGGUAAAGCCUACCAAGCCGACGAUCCUUAGCUGGUCUGAGAGGAUGAUCAGCCACACUGGGACUGAGACACGGCCCAG